rnacentral:rRNA from 1 species
AUUGAACGCUGGCGGCAGGCCUAACACAUGCAAGUCGAACGAGUGGCGGACGGGUGAGUAAUGUCUGGGAAACUGCCUGAUGGAGGGGGAUAACUACUGGAAACGGUAGCUAAUACCGCAUACCAUCAGAUGUGCCCAGAUGGGAUUAGCUAGUUGGUGGGGUAACGGGCCACCAGGGCGAAGAUCCCUAGCUGGUCUGAGAGGAUGACCAGCCCCAUGGGAUCGGAGACACGGUCCAGCUUCCUACGGGGGGCAGCAUGGGGGAAUUUUGCACAAGGGGCGCAAUCCUGAUGCAGCCAUGCGGGGUGUAUGAAGAAGGCCUUCGGUUGGUAAAGUACUUUCAGCGGGGAGACGUUACCCGCAGAAGAAGCACCGGCUAACUCCGUGCCAGCAGCCGCGGUAAUUC